UUCAUUUAUUGUAAUUUCUAUUAUUUCAUCUUUCAGUUGAAUUGACGAAUAGCCGAAAUUCGGCCAAAAACUAAUGCCCAAUUCUAAUGGUUAUGGUUCCUGUCUAACCUCUGAGCCCUAGCAGUGGGUAGAAUCAUAAUACAUGCAGUGUAAGGUACAGCCAGAGGCAUUCUCACAAUAUGAACAAUUCACAAUGAUUACAGAGCAAGGAACUGUUCAUGUAGACAGUGUACCAUGCGGGGGCAGUGCAUGUAGUGUCAGACAGGGUAAACAGUGAGUGCAAUGUCAGACAAAGUAAAUGCAGUGGAUAGAGUGUCAGAGACAUUGCAUACAGUGAUUGCAGUAUUAAAUUAAUUGAUAAAGAGAACACAGUGUAAGAGUUAGUGUAUGCAGUGAGUGUAAUGGCAGACCAGUGGGUACAGUGUCAAAGGCAGUGCAUGCAUACAGGAGCAGUACAUACACUGUGUUAAGUGUCUAGGGACAGUGUCUGCAGUGAGUGUAGUGUAUAGAAGCAGUGUAUGCAGUGAGUGCAAUGUAUAUUGGCAGUGUAUGCAGUGAGCGCAGUGCACAGGGACAGUGCAUGCAGUUAGUGAAGUAUAUAGGGGUAGUGCACGCAAUGAGUGAAGUAUAUAGAGGCAGUGUAUACUGGCAGUGUAUGCAGUGUAUAUUGGCAGUGCAUGCAAUGAGUGAAAGUAUAUAGAGGCAGUGUAUACCGGCAGUGUAUAUUGGCAGUGCAUGCAAUGAGUGAAGUGUAUAGGGACACGGCAUAUAGUUAAUGCAGUGUAUAGAGGCAGGGCCUGCAGUGAAUCCAGUGUCAGAGGCAUUGUAUAUAGUGAGUGCAUUAUAUCGAGGCAGUGCCUGCAUUAAGUCCAGUGUCAGAGGCAGCGCAUACUGUGAUUGCAGUGUACAGAGGCAGUGCCUGCAGAGUAUCAGACGCAUAUAGUGAGUGCAGUGUAUAGAUGCAGUGACUGCAGUGUGUCCAGUAUCAGUGGCAGUGCAUACAGUAAAUGCAGUGUAUGGGCAGUGCAUGCAGUGAGUGCACUGUAAUGAGCAGUGUAUGCAGUGAGUGCAGUGUACAGGGGCAGUGCAUGCAGAGUAUCAGAGGCAGUGCAUAUAGUAAAUGCAGUGUAUGGGCAGUGCAUACAGUGAGUACACUGUAAUUAGCAGUGUAUGCAGUGAGUGCAGUUUACAGGGGCAGUGCAUACAGUGAGUGCACUGUAAUUAGCAGUGCA